GACGAACGCUGGCGGCGUGCUUAACACAUGCAAGUCGAGCGGUAAGGCCCUUUCGGGGGUACGACGAGCGGCGAACGGGUGAGUAACACGUGGGUGACCUGCCCUCAGCUCUGGGAUAAGCCUGGGAAACCGGGUCUAAUACUGGAUAUGACUCCAUGACGCAUGUUGUGGGGUGGAAAGCCUUGUGCGGCUGAGGAUGGGCCCGCGGCCUAUCAGCUUGUUGGUGGGGUGAUGGCCUACCAAGGCGACGACGGGUAGCCGGCCUGAGAGGGCGACCGGCCACACUGGGACUGAGACACGGCCCAGACUCCUACGGGAGGGCAGCAGUGGGGAAUCUUGCGCAAUGGGCGAAAGCCUGACGCAGCGACGCCGCGUGAGGGAUGACGGCC
rnacentral:rRNA from 1 species